AGUGCAAACUGUCUGCUGUCAAUAAACUUUCAAAUGUGAAAUGUAAAUGUAAAUUUAUUUUGUGGAAAUUUAUGGAACUGUGACGUAUUUUAUUAUUAUCACAUCUAAUUACUAUGCCUACAGGCCGCGCUGUUUUGUUAUUACGACGUUUGUCGACAGGUGAUAAUAGAUUAAAAAAUAUUAAUUUAAACCACCACACUUCAAAGGAGUCUUUAUUUAUAAACCCGGUUUGCUUAAAUCGGUAUUUAAGCUUUAGCAAAAGAUUUUCUUCAUUUGGACAUACUUAUCUGUUGCCACCACAACGAACAAGAAGUAUCAGUGAUACUGUCAUCAGAAUGGCAACAGGUAAUACAGAUUCUAACCAAGCUGCAAAUCCAAAACAUACAAACAGAUUGAUUACUGAAAAAUCACCAUAUUUAUUGCAACAUGCUCACAAUCCAGUAGACUGGUAUCCAUGGUGCCAAGAAGCUAUUGAUAAAGCUAAAGAAGAAAACAAACUUAUAUUUCUUUCUGUGGGAUAUUCUACAUGUCACUGGUGUCAUGUUAUGGAAAAAGAAUCUUUUGAAAAUGAAGAUGUUGCAAAGGUUAUGAAUGAGCAUUUUAUUAACAUAAAAGUUGAUCGUGAAGAAAGACCAGAUUUAGAUCGAGUUUAUAUGCUUUUCAUCAUGGCAACUCAGGGAGGUGGGGGGUGGCCUAUGUCAGUUUUUCUUACACCUGAUUUACGCCCAGUAACAGGUGGCACUUAUUUUCCACCAGAAGAUCGCUGGGGACGCCCUGGUUUUAAAACAAUCUUGUUGUCUUUAGCGAAAAAGUGGAAAGAUAACCAGGCUCAGUUCCUUGAAGCUAGUAGUAAUAUUAUGGAUGCCUUAGAAAAUAUCUCUAAAGUAGAUGUGGAGACUACAUCGAUACCCGGCGAAGCAACAUGGAAUAAAUGUGUACGACGUUAUAUGGCGUCAUUCGAACCACAAUUUGGCGGAUUCGGGACAGCUCCAAAAUUUCCUCAAGCUUCCAUACUGAAUUUUUUAUUUCACUUUUACGCAAGGGACAAAAAUUAUGCAGAAGGAAAAAAGUGCUUAGAAAUGUGCUUACACACUUUAACUAAAAUUGCUAAAGGUGGCAUUCACGACCAUGUAUCCAGUGGAUUCGCUCGUUAUUCUGUAGAUAAUGAUUGGCAUGUUCCGCAUUUUGAAAAAAUGCUUUAUGAUCAAGCCCAAUUAAUGGUUGCUUACACUGAUGCCUACCUUGCAACAAAGAAUGAGUUUUUUGCAGAAGUUGUCCGUGACAUAGUUAAAUAUGUAAACAGAGAUUUACGACAUGAAUUAGGAGGUUAUUACAGUGCAGAAGAUGCAGAUUCGUAUCCAACAUUUGGUGCAUUACAAAAGAGAGAAGGAGCGUUUUGUGUGUGGGAGUAUAACGAAUUGGAAGCUCUUCUUGGACAUAAAACAAUUGGAGCUUUAUCUUAUUUAGAAAUAUUUUGUGAUUACUUCAGUGUAGAAGAAAAUGGUAAUAUAUCACCUGAUAGUGACCCUCACGAAGAGCUUACAAAUAAAAAUGUUCUAAUCGUAUAUGGAAGUAAAGAAGAAACUAUGUCGAAAUUCGGUCUUACGCAAGAUCAAUUCAAUGAAGUAAUAUCUGAUUGUAUUAAUAUAUUGUACGAAGAGCGAUUAAAGAGGCCAAGACCACAUUUAGAUACUAAAAUUCUGUGCUCUUGGAAUGGGCUAAUACUCGCUGGCUUAUCACAGGCUGGACAAGGCUUAGGCGAAAAAAGCUUUGUAGAAGAUGCAAUUAAAACUGCGCAAUUCGUCAAAGAACACCUCUUUGACCCUAACACUAACACUCUCCUUCAUUCUUGUUAUAAAUCUGAUGAUGGAAACAUUGUUCAAACUAAUCAGCCUAUUCAAGGAUUUUUGGACGACUACGCUUUUCUAAUUAAGGGUUUGCUGGACUUGUAUGAAGCAUCUCUUGACUUAAAUUGGCUUAAUUGGGCACGUGAAUUGCAAAUGAAGCAGAAUGAGUUAUUCUGGGACGAUGAAAAUGGAGGAUAUUUCACAUGUUCUACUGAGGAUAAUACUGUCGUUUUAAGGUUAAAGGAAGAUCAAGAUGGUGCAGAACCAUCAGGCAACAGUGUCUCAUGUCACAACUUACUACGCCUGGCAGCUUAUGCAGACAAAAGCGCUAUGUCCGAAGGAGGUGAACUAGAGAAAGAAAUGGCAAAAAAAAUAUUAAUGGCCUUUUCAAAGCGUUUAAAUGACACGCCUACAGCUCUGCCUGAAAUGAUGUCUGCACUCAUGUUCUAUAAUGAUUCUCCUACACAGGUUUUAAUAGCGGGUGGUUGCUCGGACCCGCGCACGUUGGAGUUGGUGCGCGUGGUGCGCUCGCGGCUGCUGCCGGGCCGAGUGCUCGCCGUGGCCGACCCCGCCGCCGACGCGCCCGCCGGUAUGUCCGACAUACUGCUGGCGCGCGUGCGCAGUGCGGGCGACGUGCCGACGGCGUACGUGUGUCGGCGCUACGCGUGCUCGCUGCCCGUCACCGACAGCAAGCAGCUCGGCGACCUGCUCGACGAGUAGCGCGCAUCGACAGGGAGGACUCUCGGUAGUACGACUGCUCGAUGCUGAAUUCUUUGACAUUGUUUUAUUUACAGUAACAUAUAUAUUUUUAAAGAUUUUUUUUGUUCUCAUAGAUUUUAUUUCAGUAUUUGUUGUGAUUUUUUGUUGUUUUAUUUCAAGAAUUCUCGUUUUUGAGUUAUUUUGGAUUUGGUGGAUCGAAAUGUAGUGUUAACUGCUAAAAUAAAACUAAAAUGUUUUAACAUAUUCUAUGUCAAAAUUAUACGAGUACGUAUCUCUUAUCAACAUUUUAGAUGUAUUUGAUUUUAUGCAAUGACAAUAAAUACACCGUCAUUAAAAUACAAAAUAGAACAAUACAUUUUGGUAGUUAGAAAAUAAUAUUAAAUAAAAAGUAACAUACAAUGACAAUUAUUAUAUCUCUAUAUCUAAAUUCGAUUACUUUAUCAAAACAUUGGUAAAUUCUAACAAAAGUUAACCUUUGACAAUAACAAACAUGAAUAAAUAUUUAGGAUUUUAUUGUUUUUAUCUGUAAAAUUCUAGGAUAGUUUACCGUUCUUAGUGAAACGUUUAUAAACCAUUAAAUCUAUUCAAAACUUCCGUAGAAUGCUUCAACUUGUUCUAAUAUAUAGUAAUAAAAAAAAUAUGUUCUAUAAAUUAUUUAAUAAAUUCAUUAUUUUAUGUAUUUUAUCCUAAACUAAAUUUGGUGCAAUUUCAUAAUUGAUGUUUAACGAUAUUGGAUAUAACAAUUUCUUGAUAAUAAUUAUUAGACAUUUAAAUGAAAUAUUUUCAGCCUUACUUAUUAUAUACUGGUGUUUAGUGAAAACCUUGAUUUAUCUUUGUGCCAUCCUCUAUUCGUUACUAAUGGAACCUUAAACAAUGUUUAUUGGUAAAGUCAUUGAUUUCGUAAUCUUAUCUAAUAUUUACUAUUUUUGAUCUCUAGUUUAUAGGUGGUUAACUAUACUUCUACGUAACAGAAUAAAUCAGUAUGAUAAUAGCUUCGCAAAUUAAUUUUAGUAGGACACUUCAAAUACUUCAAGUAACAUAAUUGCAUGCCUAAUAAAAUAUUCUUUCAGCUAUUAUUUCGAAAUAUACCUAUGAUUACUCCUCUAUAAGUUGGGAGAUAUGUCUGAAUAAAUUGUGAUAGCUUAGCUCGAAUAGUCUCCAUAGUGAAACGGAAUAGAAUUAAUAAUACUCAUUGUUAUUAUUAUUCUCAACGAAUGAGACGAGUCCUUAGAGUAUGUUAAUUAUAUAUUAUUCUAAUAUAUUGUACUAUUGUACACAUUUAUUUUAUUUAUAUUUCUUUUAGUAAUUAGUCAUUGCUAAGCAAUUUUUGUUCACGUUAUUAUGCAAUAAAAUAAAAAU